rnacentral:miRNA from 1 species
AAAAUUUUUUACACUGACAACUAAUCAUAUCUUUUAAUAGUGACAUGUCAGUUGCUUCUUUAAAAGAUAUGAUUGGUUGCCAGUGUAAAAAACUUU